GAGUUUGAUUCUGGCUCAGGAUGAACGCUGGCGGCGUGCUUAACACAUGCAAGUCGAACGGGCGAAUUAUAUCGGAGGUCUUCGGGCCAAAGAGAUAAUAAGCUAGUGGCGGACGGGUGCGUAACGUGUGGGUAAUCUGCCUUUGUCAUAGGAAUAACUGCUUGAAAAAGUAGCUAAUACCAAAUAACAUAUCGUAUAGGCAUCUAUAAGAUAUCAAAGAGAAAUCGGACAAAGAUGAGCCCGCAUCUGAUUAGCUGGUUGGUAGGGUAAAAGCCUACCAAGGCGACGAUCAGUAGCCGGCCUGAGAGGGUGAACGGCCACAUUGGAACUGAGACACGGUCCAAACUCCUACGGGAGGCAGCAGUGGGGAAUAUUGCACAAUGGGGGGAACCCUGAUGCAGCAACGCCGCGUGAGUGAAGAAGGCUUUCGAGUCGUAAAACUCUGUUGUAAGGGAGGAUAAUGACGUACCUAAAAGAAGCCCC
rnacentral:rRNA from 1 species